UCCCAUAAUAACUUUAUUUUUCAGUACAAUAUUUUGACUCUUCGUCUUAUUUGAAAUUUUUUUACGAUUAAUAUUUUUAUUGUUACUAGAUGAUAAAAUAUGAAUAAUAUUUUAUGCGUGACUAAUUUUUUAAAGUCUUUUACAAAGUUUAAAAAGACGGAUGAUCAAACGUGAGACUCAGAAAAAC
rnacentral:pre_miRNA from 1 species